GAUGAACGCUGGCGGCGUGCCUAAUACAUGCAAGUCGAGCGAACAGAUGAGGAGCUUGCUCCUCUGACGUUAGCGGCGGACGGGUGAGUAACACGUGGAUAACCUACCUAUAAGACUGGGAUAACUACGGGAAACCGGAGCUAAUACCGGAUAAUAUAUUGAACCGCAUGGUUCAAUAGUGAAAGACGGUUUUGCUGUCACUUAUAGAUGGAUCCGCGCCGCAUUAGCUAGUUGGUAAGGUAACGGCUUACCAAGGCAACGAUGCGUAGCCGACCUGAGAGGGUGAUCAGCCACACUGGAACUGAGACACGGUCCAGACUCCUACGGGAGGCAGCAGUAGGGAAUCUUCCGCAAUGGGCGAAAGCCUGACGGAGCAACGCCGCGUGAGUGAUGAAGGUCUUCGGAUCGUAAAACUCUGUUAUUAGGGAAGAACAAAUGUGUAAGUAACUAUGCACGUCUUGACGGUACCUAAUCAGAAAGCCACGGCUAACUACGUG
rnacentral:rRNA from 1 species